rnacentral:rRNA from 1 species
CGUGUAGGCGGGGAAGUAAGUCGGGCGUGAAAUCCCUAGGCUCAACCUAGGAACUGCACUCGAAACUACUACUCUUGAGUACCGGAGAGGAAAGCGGAAUACCUGGUGUAGAGGUGAAAUUCGUAGAUAUCAGGUGGAACACCAGUGGCGAAGGCGGCUUUCUGGACGGUAACUGACGCUGAGACGCGAAGGCGUGGGGAGCAAAACA